UUAGUUAAGCGUGGGCUUUUCUCUGCAAAAUUUGCAACUCAAAGUUUCCUCCAGUCGUUGGAUUAUCAAUGAGAAUACUACUGCAAAAAAUAGUCCAAGAGUUUAUAAUACCAACUAUGAAAAAUCAAAACAGCAAUCUUUUGCAGGAGUAUUCUCAUUGAGAAUCCAACAAUUAGAGAAAGCUUUGACACAAGUUUUGCAAGAAAAAAGGAAAGUCUCAUGUCUCAACUAA
rnacentral:pre_miRNA from 1 species